UACGGGGGGGGCAAGCGUUGUUCGGAACUACUGGGCGUAAAGGGCUCGUAGGCGGCCAACUAAGUCAGACGUGAAAUCCCUCGGCUUAACCGGGGAACUGCGUCUGAUACUGGAUGGCUUGAAUCCGGGAGAGGGAUGCGGAAUUCCAGGUGUAGCGGUGAAAUGCGUAGAUAUCUGGAGGAACACCGGUGGCGAAGGCGGCAUCCUGGACCGGCAUUGACGCUGAGGAGCGAAAGCCAGGGGAGCAAACGGG
rnacentral:rRNA from 1 species